GAUGAAGAACGCAGCGAAAUGCGAUACGUAGUGUGAAUUGCAGAAUUCAGUGAAUCAUCGAAUCUUUGAACGCACAUUGCGCCCCCUGGUAUUCCGGGGGGCAUGCCUGUUCGAGCGUCAUUACAACCCUCAAGCUCUGCUUGGUAUUGGGCCCCGCCAGUUCUGGCGGGCCCUAAAGUCAGUGGCGGUGCCUUCCGGCUCCGAGCGUAGUAAUUCUUCUCGCUCUGGAGACCCGGUUGUGUGCUUGCCAACAACCCCCAAUUUUUUAAGGUUGACCUCGGAUCAGGUAGGGAUACCCGCUGAACUUAAGCAUAUCAAUAAGCGGAGGA
rnacentral:misc_RNA from 1 species